rnacentral:rRNA from 1 species
GAGUUUGAUCCUGGCUCAGGAUGAACGCUAGCGGCAGGCCUAAUACAUGCAAGACGAACGGUAAGAUUUGUAGCAAUACGAAUCCUAGAGUGUCGCAAGGGUGCGUAACACGUAUGCAAUCUACCCUGUACAGGAGUAUAGCUCCCCGAAAGGGGAAUUAACCCUCCAUAAUAUGAUGAGUCGGCAUCGGCUUAUUAUUAAAACUGAGGUGGUACAGGAUGAGCAUGCGUCUGAUUAGCUAGUUGGUAGUGUAAUGGACUACCAAGGCAAUGAUCAGUAGGGGAACUGAGAGGUUGAUCCCCCACACUGGCACUGAGAUACGGGCCAGACUCCUACGGGAAGCAGCAGUAGGGAAUAUUGGACAAUGGGUGAGAGCCUGAUCCAGCCAUGCCGCGUGCAGGAAGAAGGCCUUCUGGGUUGUAAACUGCUUUUAUCUGGGGAUAAAAAGGCCUUGCGAGGCAAACUGAAGGUACCAGAUGAAUAAGCCACGGCUAACUACGUGCCAGCAGCCGCGGUAAUACGUAGGUGGCAAGCGUUGUCCGGAUUUAUUGGGUUUAAAGGGUGCGUAGGCGGUUUAUUAAGUCAGUGGUGAAAGACGAUAGCUUAACUAUCGAGGUGCCAUUGAUACUGAUGAACUUGAGUGCACACGAUGUAAGCGGAAUGGACGGUGUAGCGGUGAAAUGCAUAGAUAUCGUCCAGAACACCGAUAGUGAAGA